UAUUUUGAGAUUUUUAUAUGCCAUCAAGAUUUACAAAUGCAUACAUAUUAAAUGAGUUCAUAAACUCAUAUAAAAAUGUACUUUCAAGAUCUACAGUAUUAAAUAAAAUUUACCACAAUUGAAUGCUGAGUAUUUCAAUAAAAAAGCAGGACUAGAGCUAUUAAUAUAAAUAAGGAUUAGAACAUCACAAGAGAACACUAAAUUAAAUUAUACCAAUGAUCAUAGAAAAGCAGAAAGGAUGCUUAUUUUUCUUUCUCUAAACUUUAUAUUUUAUGGUUGAAGAGCUCAGUAAAUGAGAUAUUAAAGUAAAAUAAGUCGCAUUUAUAUAAGAAGAAAAAUCUUGACCCAUUAGGAAGACUUUAACAACAUUUCUACAUAUAUGAACAUGGUAAAUAUAAAACAGUUGAGCCUUAAUCUACUGUGUUAUUGCUCUAUACCUGGGAGACAAAUGAUCUAUUUGAACAGAAUAGCCUUAUAUCCAUCCAUAAAGAUCAGCUAACAGAAUCCAAAGCAGAACAACUCCAGUGGUAGUGAUCUUUCCUGGAAAACAUCUGCUGCCAGCUGAGUGUGUUUACAUUUUGGCAGCAUUGGCAGAUGUGCUCAUAGUCAGCCCAUCUGUGUGGUUCCCAGAGGCUGGAGCCAAGGAAGCUGGGCUGGACAGACAGCAGAGAAUGAGCUUACUAUAAUAUCCUGACUUGUUCUAGAAAAUGCAAAUUAGUGCCUCAUAGCACUUUGUUUCUUCCUAUGCUAAAAAAAGGCCUGAAAGUUAACUGAUUUGUACGUAUGGCCUAGAAUGAGCAACAGCUUUUACUUGUCCGACUGCUCUUAGGAAUGUAAUCAUGUAGGUGUGUGAUCAAUAUUUUAGAAAAGAGAGUAAUAAUUUCUGUGAAAAAUAAUUUAAGAAAUGUUUAGAGAAUAAAUAAGUAUAUCAAUUUAAACUUUUUCAUAUUUGAAAAUAUUAAAAAUAUGUAGUAGGUGGGAAAACACUGAAUAAGUAUGAGGUUUUACAUGUGAAACUCUUGUUUGUUCUCUCUUCUUGUAUUGUUUAUUACAUUUGUUACCAUUUGUUACAUUCAGAAGUGUUAUCCAAAGUAUGUUCUUCAGAAAAUAAUUUCAUAGCCAAUAGAAGUACUUAUAAAAGGAUAUAUGGCUUUUAAAACAAUAGAAUUUCUAUAUUGCACGUUCUCAGCACUUUUAUGAUGUUAAUUUAUUUUCUCAAUCUCCAAGUAGGGAAUCUAUGGAGUUGUCUUUUACUGAACAUAUUUUUGUGGAACACAUUCUGUACUAGAAUUCUUUUGUGUUUACUUGAGUAAUUCUACUUUGGUAAUUGAAUCUGAAAUCAGCAAUCUGGAAGCAAAAAGUAAAUAAAUAAAGAGGUAUUUUCAUAUUGGCAUUCAUUUUUUACAUAUUUUCUUUAUUGAAAUAAACAACUAAGUGACUGAAAUAUU
rnacentral:lncRNA from 1 species